GAUGAAGAACGCAGUGAAAUGCGAUAAGUAAUGUGAAUUGCAGAAUUCCGUGAAUCAUCGAAUCUUUGAACGCACAUUGCGCCCCCUGGCAUUCCGGGGGGCAUGCCUGUCCGAGCGUCAUUUCUGCCCUCAAGCACGGCUUGUGUGUUGGGUGCGGUCCCCCCGGGGACCUGCCCGAAAGGCAGCGGCGACGUCCGUCUGGUCCUCGAGCGUAUGGGGCUCUGUCACUCGCUCGGGAAGGACCUGCGGGGGUUGGUCACCACUAUAUUUUACCACGGUUGACCUCGGAUCAGGUAGGAGUUACCCGCUGAACUUAAGCAUAUCAAUAAGCGGAGGA
rnacentral:misc_RNA from 1 species